GGAUUAGAUACCCUGGUAGUCCACGCCGUAAACGAUGAGUACUAGUUCUUAGAGGUAUUGACCCCUUUAGGGACGCAGCUAACGCAUUAAGUACUCCGCCUGGGAAGUACGGCCGCAAGGCUAAAACUCAAAGGAAUUGACGGGGGCCCGCACAAGCGGUGGAUUAUGUGGUUUAAUUCGAAGCAACGCGCAGAACCUUACCUAGGCUUGAAAUCCUUCGAAUCCGAUGUAAUGGUCGGAGUGCCCGCAAGGGAAUGAAGUGACAGGUGCUGCAUGGCUGUCGUCAGCUCGUGCCG
rnacentral:rRNA from 1 species